rnacentral:rRNA from 1 species
AUUGAACGCUGGCGGCAGGCCUAACACAUGCAAGUCGAGCGGAUGAAGGGAGCUUGCUCCUGGAUUCAGCGGCGGACGGGUGAGUAAUGCCUAGGAAUCUGCCUGGUAGUGGGGGAUAACGUCCGGAAACGGGCGCUAAUACCGCAUACGUCCUGAGGGAGAAAGUGGGGGAUCUUCGGACCUCACGCUAUCAGAUGAGCCUAGGUCGGAUUAGCUAGUUGGUGGGGUAAAGGCCUACCAAGGCGACGAUCCGUAACUGGUCUGAGAGGACGAUCAGUCACACUGGAACUGAGACACGGUCCAGACUCCUACGGGAGGCAGCAGUGGGGAAUAUUGGACAAUGGGCGAAAGCCUGAUCCAGCCAUGCCGCGUGUGUGAAGAAAGUCUUCGGAUUGUAAAGCACUUUAAGUUGGGAGGAAGGGCAGUAAGUUAAUACCUUGCUGUUUUGACGUUACCAACAGAAUAAGCACCGGCUAACUUCGUG